rnacentral:rRNA from 1 species
ACGCUGGCGGCAGGCUUUAACACAUGCAAGUCGAACGGUAAACAGGGAUUAGCUCUGCUAAUCUGCUGACGAGUGGCGGACGGGUGAGUAAUGCUUGGGAAUCUGGCUUAUGGAGGGGGAUAACUACGGGAAACUGUAGCUAAUACCGCGUAAAAUCUUCGGAUUAAAGGGUGGGACUUUCGGGCCACCUGCCAUAAGAUGAGCCCAAGUGGGAUUAGGUAGUUGGUUAGGUAAGGGCUGACCAAGCCGACGAUCUCUAGCUGGUCUGAGAGGAUGACCAGCCACACUGGAACUGAGACACGGUCCCGACUCCUACGGGAGGCAGCAGUGGGGAAUAUUGCACAAUGGGGGGAACCCUGAUGCAGCCAUGCCGCGUGAAUGAAGAAGGCCUUCGGGUUGUAAAGUUCUUUCGGUGACGAGGAAGGUUGAUAGGUUAAUAGCCUAUCAAAUAGACGUUAAUCACAGAAGAAGCACCGGCUAACUCCGUGCCAGCAGCCGCGGUAAUACGGGGGGUGCAAGCGUUAAUCGGAAUAACUGGGCGUAAAGGGCACGUAGGCGGUGACUUAAGUGAGAUGUGAAAGCCCCGGGCUUAACCUGGGAAUUGCAUUUCAUACUGGGUCGCUAGAGUACUUUAGGGAGGGGUAGAAUUCCACGUGUAGCGGUGAAAUGCGUAGAGAUGUGGAGGAAUACCGAAGGCGAAGGCAGCCCCUUGGGAAUGUACUGACGCUCAUGUGCGAAAGCGUGGGGAGCAAACAGGAUUAGAUACCCUGGUAGUCCACGCUGUAAACGAUGUCGAUUUGGGGGUUGGGCUUUGAGCCUUGGCGCCCGUAGCUAACGUGAUAAAUCGACCGCCUGGGGAGUACGGCCGCAAGGUUAAAACUCAAAUGAAUUGACGGGGGCCCGCACAAGCGGUGGAGCAUGUGGUUUAAUUCGAUGC